rnacentral:rRNA from 1 species
GAUGAACGCUGGCGGCGUGCUUAACACAUGCAAGUCGAACGAAGCACUUUAUUUGAUUUCCUUCGGGACUGAUUAUUUUGUGACUGAGUGGCGGACGGGUGAGUAACGCGUGGGUAACCUGCCUUGUACAGGGGGAUAACAGUUGGAAACGGCUGCUAAUACCGCAUAAGCGCACAGCAUCGCAUGAUGCAGUGUGAAAAACUCCGGUGGUAUAAGAUGGACCCGCGUUGGAUUAGCUAGUUGGUGAGGUAACGGCCCACCAAGGCGACGAUCCAUAGCCGAACUGAGAGGGUGACCGGCCACAUUGGGACUGAGACACGGCCCAAACUCCUACGGGAGGCAGCAGUGGGGAAUAUUGCACAAUGGGCGAAAGCCUGAUGCAGCGACGCCGCGUGAGCGAAGAAGUAUUUCGGUAUGUAAAGCUCUAUCAGCAGGGAAGAUAAUGACGGUACCUGACGAAGAAGCACCGGCUAAAUACGUG